GACGGAGGAUGCAAGUGUUAUCCGGAAUCACUGGGCGUAAAGAGCUCGUAGGCGGUUCGAUAAGUCAGGUGUAAAAACUCCAGGCUCAACUUGGAGAGGCCACCUGAUACUGUCGUGACUAGAGUCCGGUAGAGGAGCACGGAAUUCCUGGUGUAGCGGUGAAAUGCGCAGAUAUCAGGAGGAACACCAGCGGCGAAGGCGGUGCUCUGGGCCGAUACUGACGCUGAGGAGCGAAAGUGUGGGGAGCGAACAGG
rnacentral:rRNA from 1 species